GACGAACCGUCCGAACGUUGUUCGGAAUCACUGGGCUUAAAGGGCGCGUAGGCGGGUUGCCAAGUCUGUGGUGAAAUCCUUCGGCUCAACCGAAGAACUGCCGUGGAUACUGGCGACCUCGAGGAAGGUAGGGGUCUCUGGAACUGUGCGUGGAGCGGUGAAAUGCGUUGAUAUGCACAGGAACUCCGGUGGCGAAGGCGAGGGACUGGACCUUUUCUGACGCUGAGGCGCGAAAGCUAGGGGAGCGAACGGG
rnacentral:rRNA from 1 species